GUGAUUCUUUUAAUGCCAUAUU
rnacentral:miRNA from 15 species